GUCGAGCUCGGUAGCGUGGGCUUAUAAUCCAUGUGGAGACAAUAGGAUGAUGGGACGUUGGGUCGAUCUCAUUGGGCCGGGUUUGUUGGGCUUAUUAUGGCCUGCCCGUUCCAGGUUAGGAGUUGAGGCAUGCGGCUUGAGCGAAGGCUUUAGUCACGUGUUUCUUAAAGUGGGGGAGACUGCGUGAGGCUGGUUUUACAGAGCAGCGUACACCUCCCGCUCUUGACGGUGGAAGGAUAACGGGCCUUCGCCUUCCGAGCCUACUAUGACCCAAUAAGCUGAUUCCGAUUGGACCAACUUUUUU
rnacentral:SRP_RNA from 2 species